rnacentral:rRNA from 1 species
GAUGAACGCUGGCGUCGUGCUUAACACAUGCAAGUCGAACGGUGAAGGCGGAGCUUGCUCUGCUGGAUCAUUUGCGAACGGGCGAGUAACACGUGAGCAAUCUGCCCCUGACUCUGGGAUAAGCGCUGGAAACGGCGUCUAAUACUGGAUACGAGCUGCGAAGGCAUCUUCAGCAGCUGGAAAGAAUUUCGGUCAGGGAUGAGCUCGCGGCCUAUCAGCUUGUUGGUGAGGUAAUGGCUCACCAAGGCGUCGACGGGUAGCCGGCCUGAGAGGGUGACCGGCCACACUGGGACUGAGGCACGGCCCAGACUCCUACGGGAGGCAGCAGUGGGGAAUAUUGCACAAUGGGCGAAAGCCUGAUGCAGCAACGCCGCGUGAGGGACGACGGCCUUCGGGUUGUAAACCUCUUUUAGCAGGGAAGAAGCGAAAGUGACGGUACCUGCAGAAAAAGCGCCGGCUAACUACGUG